AAAAGUUUUGUAAUACCGGUGUGGCUGUUUGGGUUCCUGGCAUGCUGAUUUGUGAGUUAAGAUUAAAAUCACAUUGCCAGGGAUUACCACACAACCAUGUCCUUGGCGACUCGCAUGGAA
rnacentral:pre_miRNA from 14 species